GAGGUCUUACUGUACUCAUCCCACUCUGGUUCCUGCAUCAUUGCACAUUGCAGUGUGUGCUGUGCCUACACACUGCACUCCUCUAAGAUCUGCCCUUACUCUUUCUGCCUCUUUUUCAACAAACAGUGAAAUAAAAUCAUGAGCACAGCCCAAACUGGAUGGUGUUGACUAGCUUCUAAGACCGAUUCUGAAAGGAAGUAGGAGCAGGCACAAUGAGACCAGUGUGACCCCUUCAGAGUGACAGAAGAUCAGAGGACAGACAUCAGUUUUCUUGUGUUUCAUUCCAGUGCUCUGCUAACCCAGGGAGUCAAUAGCAAACCCACAGAUCUUUGAUUCAGGAGCUAAAUGAUGAAGUGUAAAAUUACAGUAUCUUCAUUCUUGCUGAAGAGCAUCUCACUGAAUUAGGCUGUUCCUGAGGAAGAAGCUGGUUGGUAUGUGAGAUGAAUAAUUCUGACGUGUCUUCCCUCCAAGAUCUAAAUUUCUGAAACAUCUGUCUUGGCUUUUACCUGUCUGCCAUACUAUGGGUGAAGCUAGAUGGAGUUAGGGAGGAAAUGUUUGUUUGGAGGAGAUGGCUUUGAGGAUAAGAAGAAGCAUCAGCAAACUCCCAUCUAGAGCAGAUUAGAUCGUUUAAGUAGUCUGGAAGGGGAGAUAGUUCUGCACUUGGACCACUGAAGGUUUACGAGAAGGAGGUGGCUUUUGCUAUUCACUGUAGAGAUUGCUCCUGUGGUAAGGUCUAGAUUACCAGGUUAGUUGGGAAAUAUCAAAACAGGAAGUUGCCCCCAAAUCAAUCUUGGCUAGGAGUGAUAUUAAAAUAAGCAGCUGACCUACUCUGCUUGGAUUUGUUCAGAAAAAUUAAGCUGUACUUCAAAACCUAAGAAGAGAAGAUACAUAUUAAAAGUAUAUUUUGCUUUUCUAGCACAUUAGCCUGAUAACUAAUGGUAAAACUGGCUAAACUCUGUUAAAAUGACAACAAAAAAA